CGGGGAAUGGCGCAGCUUGGUAGCGCGCCUGCUUUGGGAGCAGGAGGUCGGGAGUUCGAAUCUCCCUUCCCCGACCA
rnacentral:tRNA from 1 species